GAGACAGUUCGGUCCCUAUCUGCCGUGGGCGCUGGAGAAUUGAGGGGGGCUGCUCCUAGUACGAGAGGACCGGAGUGGACGCAUCAUUGGUGUACCGGUUGUCACGCCAGUGGCAUAGCCGGGUAGCUAAGUUCGGAAGAGAUAACCGCUGAAAGCAUCUAAGCGGGAAACUUGCCUGAAGAUGAGACUUCCCUGGAGGCUUGACCUCCCUGAAGAGUCGUUCGAGACCAGGACGUUGAUAGGUCGGGUGUGGAAGCGCUGUGAGGCGUGAAGCUAACCGAUACUAAUUGCUCGUGAGGCUUGAUCCUAU
rnacentral:rRNA from 1 species